rnacentral:rRNA from 1 species
CAGCCGCCGCGGGAAUACGUAGGUGGCAAGCGUUGUCCGGAAUUAUUGGGCGUAAAGGGCUCGCAGGCGGUUUCUUAAGUCUGAUGUGAAAGCCCCCGGCUCAACCGGGGAGGGUCAUUGGAAACUGGGAAACUUGAGUGCAGGAGAGGAGAGUGGAAUUCCACGUGUAGCGGUGAAAUGCGUAGAGAUGUGGAGGAACACCAGUGGCGAAGGCGACUCUCUGGUCUGUAACUGACGCUGAGGAGCGAAAGCGUGGGGAGCGAACAGGAUUAGAGACCCGUGUAGUCCCUGUCUCUUAUAC